UUUGUAUUACGUGCGGAAAUUGUUACCAUUUUCGGCUCAAAAAUGGUAACAAUUUCUGCACAUAAUACAAA
rnacentral:miRNA from 1 species